rfam:Myotis brandtii contig184036, whole genome shotgun sequence.
GAGACACCCUUAUGGGGCAGGACUUGCCUCAGUGGGGCUUUGGUGCUCACUGAGUCUGCCCCUUCAGUGUGUCGCU